UUAGUUCUGUCCUGGGGGCUACUUCCACUGGAGAGGGACUUGGGGAGGUGACCAUACGGCCACUCCGUCCCCCACAGAGGGCCCGGCUCCUGGAGAAGUGGAUCCGCGUGGCAGAGGAGUGCCGGCUGCUCCGAAACUUCUCUUCAGUUUAUGCCGUGGUGUCAGCCCUGCAGUCCAGCCCCAUCCACAGGCUUCGGGCAGCCUGGGGGGAAGCAACCAGGGACAGCCUCAGAGUCUUUUCCAGCCUCUGCCAGAUUUUCUCCGAGGAGGAUAAUUAUUCCCAGAGUCGGGAGCUGCUCAUGCAGGAGGUGAAGCUGCAGUCUCCUCUGGAGCCACACUCCAAGAAGGCCCCGAGGUCUGGCUCCCGGGGUGGGGGUGUGGUCCCAUACCUUGGCACCUUCCUGAAGGACCUUGUGAUGCUGGAUGCAGCCUCCAAGGAUGAGUUGGAGAAUGGAUACAUCAAUUUUGACAAGCGGAGGAAGGUGAGCGGAGUGUCUGGGCUGGAUGCUGGACUUCCCUAUCCAUGUUCCAGGAAGGGGAGGGGGAAAAGUCAGGGGUCCCUGAGUUUUGGCUCCUGCAGUUUGAGGGCUCCUUCCCAGGAGUUUGCAGUCCUUUCUGAGUUGCGACGGCUCCAGAAUGAAUGUCGUGGCUAUAACCUCCAACCUGACCAUGAUAUCCAGAGGUGGCUACAGGGGCUCCGGCCACUGACAGAGGCUCAGAGCCAUCGUGUAUCCUGUGAGGUGGAGCCACCUGGUUCCAGUGACCCUCCUGCCCCACGGGUGCUUCGGCCAACAUUGGUCAUCUCGCAGUGGACAGAGUGAGAGAUUCACUGGCUGGGGGGUGGUUUCUUGGGACUUCCACUUUUCUCUGAUCCUCCCAAUCUCCUGCCACUGCAGGGUUUUGGGCUCUGUUGGGGUCCCUACCCCGCUUGUGUCCUGUGACCGGCCCAGUAUUGGGGGAGAUGAGGCGCCUACAACUCCUGCUCCUCUGCUGACUCGGCUGGCCCAGCACAUGAAGUGGCCAUCUGUCUCGUCACUAGACUCUGCCUUGGAAAGCAGUCCAUCCCUGCACAGUCCAGCUGACCCCAGCCACCUCUCCCCACCAGCCUCCUCCCCUAGGCCUUCUCGAGGUCACCGCCGCUCAGCCUCCUGUGGCUCCCCGCUGAGUGGGGGUGCAGAAGAGGCCUCCGGGGGGACUGGAUAUGGGGGAGGGGGAUCUGG
rnacentral:sRNA from 1 species